CGGGGGGGCAAGCGUUGUUCGGAAUUACUGGGCGUAAAGGGCUCGUAGGUGGCCAACUAAGUCGGACGUGAAAUCCCUCGGCUUAACCGGGGAACUGCGUCCGAUACUGGAUGGCUCGAGUCUGGGAGAGGGAUGCGGAAUUCCAGGUGUAGCGGUGAAAUGCGUAGAUAUCUGGAGGAACACCGGUGGCGAAGGCGGCAUCCUGGACCAGUACUGACACUGAGGAGCGAAAGCCAGGGGAGCAAACGGGAUUAGAUACCCCGGUAGUCCUGGCCCUAAACGAUGAAUGCUUGGUGUGACGGGUAUCGAUCCCUGUCGUGCCGAAGCUAACGCAUUAAGCAUUCCGCCUGGGGAGUACGGUCGCAAGGCUG
rnacentral:rRNA from 1 species